rnacentral:rRNA from 1 species
AGCGAACGCUGGCGGCAGGCUUAACACAUGCAAGUCGAACGGGCACUUCGGUGCUAGUGGCAGACGGGUGAGUAACGCGUGGGAACGUGCCUUUCGGUUCGGAAUAAUCCAGGGAAACUUGGACUAAUACCGGAUACGCCCUUCGGGGGAAAGAUUUAUCGCCGAAAGAUCGGCCCGCGUCUGAUUAGCUAGUUGGGGAGGUAAAGGCUCACCAAGGCGACGAUCAGUAGCUGGUCUGAGAGGAUGAUCAGCCACAUUGGGACUGAGACACGGCCCAAACUCCUACGGGAGGCAGCAGUGGGGAAUAUUGGACAAUGGGCGCAAGCCUGAUCCAGCCAUGCCGCGUGAGUGAUGAAGGCCUUAGGGUUGUAAAGCUCUUUUGUCCGGGAAGAUAAUGACUGUACCGGAAGAAUAAGCCCCGGCUAACUUCGUGCCAGCCGCCGCGGUAAGAC